CACGUAGGCACCAAGCGUUGUCCGGAUUUAUUGGGCGUAAAGAGCUCGUAGGCGGUUCGGUUAGUCGGGUGUGAAAACUUUGGGCUCAACCCAAAGCGUGCACUCGAUACUGCCGUGACUAGAGUUCGGUAGGGGAGUGGGGAAUUCCUAGUGUAGCGGUGAAAUGCGCAGAUAUUAGGAGGAACACCAGUGGCGAAGGCGGCUCACUGGACCGGUACUGACGCUGAGGCGCGAAAGCGUGGGGAGCAAACAGGG
rnacentral:rRNA from 1 species